rnacentral:lncRNA from 1 species
CAAAGAGGACCCCCGGCUGCCUGACUGCAGGGCUCAUGGGGCUGCCCUUGUUCGCCGCCUUUUCUCCAUCGCUCAGACCCUCACUUCCCCGCCAGUGCAGGUUUCUGCCCCCUCAAUCCUUUUGGAGGUGUAGGUGGGAUCCAUGGAGGAGAAAACUCGGAUCUGCAGGCUCCUCUCCACCUGGCGCCCACACAGGUUUAGAAUAGUUCACCAGUGAAGUCAUCUCAACCAGCACAGGGCCUUGACUCCUAACAACAAUCACACGAACUUGGAAGAGGAGCCUUCCCCAACUGAACCUUCGCUUGAGACCUCGUCCUUGGCCAUCCUCUACAUCUGGAUUCAUGAUACAGAGAAACUUGAGUAAUGAUGACACUAGCAGUCCAGCCUGCAUGGAUGCUGACAUGGAUGCUGUCUCCCAUUCUUACCACUGGAUGGGAAGAAAUGCUAGAUGCAAUCCAGCCAGUCUGUACUCGACUGUCAGUUCCAUCUUCUCAACUCACAGUGUCUUCCAAAGUCCGUGCCACACCACAGCCUGGAACAUCUCCCAAGGUUUCAAAUAAUUCAUCAGUGAAUUCUUCUCAACCUGGUCAAUCAUGUGAACUUAGAAGAUGAUUCCUCCCCAGCUGAUCCUCAGGUGAGACAUCAGCCUUGGCCAUCAUCUACAUCUGGAUUCCUGACCCAGAGAAACUGGAACACUAAGACCCAUUCUUCUUCUCAAGUAUCCAAAAAUAAAGUUGAUCCAAGUAAGAAGUGGACAGCAUAAAAGAUUGUAUGGAAGCUAUAAUGCAUCUACAUCUGCAGUAACUAAUCAUAAAAUGAUUUGUAUGAUCAUUCUUCACAUGAUUAGAAUUACUAUGGGAAAGAAGAAAAAGAAAUGCCUCUCUGGAUGGUGACUAUAACCUAUAGCCUUGCCCAAUAUGACUCAGGAUUUGGUACUGGCUGUGCCUUUCAUGGGAUGCUUACUUAUCCUGGUCGAUGGCCUAAAGCCCAACCGUCCAGCUUAUAUCCAGGGUCUCAAGCCACCCAGGCUGGAGUGCAGUGGCACAAUUAUGGCUCACUGUAGCCUCACCUUCCUGGGAUCAAGCAAUCUUCUUUCUUCAGCCUCCAGAGGAGCUGGGACCACAGAUCCUUUGGCAUUUGAGAGUUGCUUUGUGUAUACGGUCCUUUAACGGAGCAAAUGGCCAGCCAGGAAACCAAAGUAUGGACAAGGGGAAAGAAGCGUCUGUGGAGGAAGUUUUACAAGCGCCCUCCUCAUCCAUUUGGGUGGUGUUGCCCAUAUGCUACAUGUCUGUGGACCACUAUGUGUGUUUAAAGCUUUUUAGUAAAACGUUACUAAAAACUAUGACUCACUGUGGUGAAAAAGGUGGCAAAACAGUGACAACACAACACGGAGAUGCAUUGACACCCUUCUUCAAUCCAGAGGAUGGGCCAUCAACUCACAAAAGUACAAGGCCUGGAACCAGCUGCAAAGUUCCUAUGGAUCACUUGGCCAGAAACAGGUUCUAACUAUGUUGCCCAAGCUGGUCCUGAACCGCUAGCCUCAAAUAAUCCUCCUGCCUGAACCUACCAAAGCAUUGGUAUUACAAGUUUGACCCACCGUGAUCUGUCCAGAGUGGGAAAUAGAAUCUUAACAACUAUCACAUGAACUUUGAGGGUAUCCUUCUCCAGAUGAGCCUUCAGUUGAGACCUCAGCCUUGGACAUCAUCUGCACCUGGAUUCCUGACCCAGAGCAACUGCAUGCAUAUGUUAUCCCAGCUUCUGGGGAGGCUGACUUGGGAGGAUUGCUUGAGCCCAGGAGUUCCAAACUGAAGUGAGCCAUGAUUGUGUCACUGCACUCCAGCUUGGGAAACAGAGGGAGACCAAGACUCAAAAAAAAAAACUGGCCUCAGAAGGAAUUUUAUGGAACCUUGUAUUCUGUUGAAUACCAGAAUUAUAUCAGCAAUCCCAAAGUCACCAAAUGGGCAUCAUCAUGACAGCAGACCGUGAUCAUGGGCUACAUUCUCCGUACCAGCUUCAUAGCUCCAGUGAGAAAAUAAAUUCCUGCAUCCAGGAGAUGUGGAGUAAGAGAUACAGCUGCCCUUGACCAUAUUUCUUACUUCCGAGAAGAUCGUAGCAGUAAUUCAGAAUCUCAUCCAGGAUACCUCAUCACAGGCUGGAGUGCAGUGUCAUGAGCUUGGCUCACUACAGCCUCCAUCUUCUGUGCUUAAGGAUCCUUCCCUCUCAACCUCCAAGGUAGCUGAGACUACAGGCAACAUUCGAAACCCAGGUGCCACUCCUUCAGGAAGGUACCAUCAAGCUCCAAGGACUCAUCCUCUUUCUCCUUCCCCACUACCUAGUCAUUAGAGCGUCAGCAUCCACUUCCUGAAAGGAAGAUGCCUGUUUUUCACAUAUCCCAGAAAGCCUCAUUUUAGGACAGCAUUUAGCAGAGUGUAUUCAGGAUCCCACUAACCUUUUCGGAAGACAUGACUUCCAGAUGAUAUAAGGCAAGAAUAAGAAAUUUCAGUGACAGGGAACAGAAAUCAUAUUUCUGCAUUCAGGAUCAUGUUUUCUUGGCUCCAUCAGGAACUGUGCAGGACUGUGCACUCUGUUGAUACUCACAUGGUGGAAUUAUAUUGCCCUUGGCCAACCCUAAAGCCAUCAAGAUAGCAGGUUUGGAAUAAUUCACUGUCGAAGUCUUCUUGAGCUGAGCAGUCAUGUGAGCUUGGAAGAUGAUCCCUCUCCAGCUGAUCCUUCAGCUCAGGCCAUCAUCUACAUCUGGAUUCCUGACCCGGAGAAACUAUGAGUAAUGUGUGCUGCUUUUGAGCCACUAAGCUACAUGAAUUAAUGAAGGAUCAUUAUUAAGUUUUUAAUGGGUCAAGAGAAAGUUACCACUGAGGUCUUCUCUACCUGGGCAACAAUUGACUCCUAACAACCACUAUAAGCUUGGAAGAUGAUCCCUCCCCAGCUGAUCCUUCAGGCUCAGACUUUGACAGUCCUCUGAUAUACUUUAUAUGUAAAUAGAUGGCUGAGUGUUCUGGCUGAUGAACAUGGGUUACUUAACCAGAGUUAAGCGAGGACUUUCUCACCUGAAACCACCAAGAGACACAAAAGCCAGAAAAGGACAGAAAUUAAUUCAAGGGUCAACAAAUAGAGUCGGCUUUCUUUAAGACCUGAAGUGUAGAAGUCUAGGUUGAACCCUAGGUUGAUUACGUUGAAGACUACAUUCUCCUGUGAAGCAAGCAUUCCUAAAGG